rnacentral:rRNA from 1 species
GUCCACGCCGUAAACGAUGAGCACUAGCUGUCGGGUAUCGACCCCUCCGGUAGCGCAGCUAACGCGAUAAGUGCUCCGCCUGGGGACUACGGCCGCAAGGCUAAAACUCAAAGGAAUUGACGGGGCCCGCACAAGCAGCGGAGCGUGCGGUUUAAUUCGAAGCUACGCGAAGAACCUUACCAGGGCUUGACAUGCACGGGACAGCCGGUGAAAAGCCGGUCUCCUUCGGGUCCGUGCACAGAUGCUGCAUGGCUGUCGU